UUCUUCCUUCCUGAUGGGCUCUUUGGUCAGUACACCUUUAAGCCUAUUUUUUGGGGGGGAAGUAGGAGAGGCACAUCCUAUUUAGGUUCUGGUCCAGGUGUUCCUGGGAAGCACGUCCUACUUACGUUCUGGCCCAGGUGUUCCUGGGAAGCACGUCCUACUUAUGUUCUGGCCCGGGUGUUCCUGGGAAGCACGUCCCACAUAAGUUCUAGUCCCACCGCGUCUCUGCACUGCGUUGGGCUUCCAGUUGGAGUUAUUCCCAAAGCUUCCUGGAGGAGUGGCCUGGAUCUGCCCCCUGAUGACGAGGCUCAGAGCCCCACUGGCUGUGACUUUGGGACUCUUUCUUCUGGACACGCGUGUUCGUCAGCCUUCAGCAUGUGGGGAGGUGCUGGGCUGAACGUCCCUUCUCAUGCCCUGUGUCUGGUGAUUCGUGAGUACAGAUAUCGUUUGACAAGCCCCACAGGUGAGACUCUGUGGGCCUCGGGUCGUUCUGAGAGGCCAGGCCCCUCCCAAGAUUCAGAGCUUGGCAUUGGGGAUGGGCAGGGUUGCUGUGGGGAUGGCCCUGUGCCCCGCUUGCUGAACGCCCGAGGGCUUCACCCUGUGUGAUGACAUCUGUGACGUUUUGGGGCUUUGGCCUGCACACUUGCCUUGCCAGUCACAUGGAUUGAGCACUGUUUCGGUUUGUGUGUCGGCUCUCAUGAGCAUCUUUUACUUUUCCUGUUUUCAUAAGCUGCUUUUAAAAUAAAAACUAGGGGUAGGGUUUUUAGGCAGCUCCCCCACCCUGGUACCACGUGGACUUAAUGCUAUCUCAAAGUUGUGGCUUCAAUUAUAUACAAUGACUAUUUAAAAGUAACAUGAAACAAGGUACAGAUGGGCUUUGUGCUAGAUUAAGUGAGUGUGACCAGGCUUCAAAACAAUUCUUGUAUUCCAACAUAGUGGAUGUUAAGAGCUGGUGAGAUUUAGUAACAUAAAGCAGUCUUUAAGGCACUCCUUAAGCAAGGGCAUGAUUAAAUUUAAGUCGUUAAAAUACACACCUUUAAAAUUCAGGAAAUAGCCUACCAGCUUUCCAGGACUGAAACUUUGUUACUAAUGUGCGUUGUACUGUCCCUCCACGGCCACAAGUUACUGCGGUGGUGUGAUACCAUGUCAGGAAAUUCGGUAAAAAUAAGGUUUUGCGGGUGGAUUGCGAGUUCAGUUCGCUUUUUAGCACAGGUGACUCUAGGCCUCCUUUGAUGGCCACGCUUUCCCCGUGGACCACAGCAGGACGCAGUCACACGAGCACUCGCCCUUGGGGCUGUUUUGCUGUUGAUAUCAGCGUGCAGACUUUGAGACGUUUUUCUCUCACUUGUACACAAAUAUGAAAAGUAGAAUUUGCUUUUCUUUUUUCAUAUGUAGAUGUGAGCAGUUAUUAUUUAGAUCCCCGAUGAGGAAGGGAUUUAUGACAGUUGGUAAUUUAGAAUUCUUCCCUUGUAUUAGGAAGAUCUGGCCCUGGACCCAGGCAGGAAGUAGCCUUGACUUUGUUUGAUGACUUUGUUUAGUGUUUGGCACAAAUAGGAUUCUGGGUGAGGUCUGCCCUUGAUGGAAAGCGUGUGAGCGAAAGGGGCGCUCUGACGGUGUUCUGUUCUGCGUCCCGUGCUUCGAGAGGGCAAGGCCUUGGGAAAGGAAUGUGCAGGGCGGAUUGCGCGGGUGGGCGCGUUCCGUGGCCGUUGGGCAGGUGACCGGCCGCUGGUUGGGAGUGCUGUCACCGGAGACGGGUGGCUCACAAGAUUUGCUGCUACUGGUUGAGGUCAUGCACAAAGUCCUGGUGUAGUGCUUGGAAGCUAGCAAACUUGUGCUCAGUCCCCUGUUCCUUACCGCUGGGCUAAGACAUGUCACACUGGCGAUCACCUUCUCGUCUUGUUGCUAUGAAAGCAAGAACCUGGGAAGCAUCCGGACACCCAGCGGAGGAUGAUGAAAUGCCAUGGAGGACCUGUCCCAGGCACGGGCUGGAGCGUCUCUGUUUCUGAGCUGAUCUUUAGGUGUGGACUACAGGUGUGGGGUUUGCUGGAGUCCAGGUUCACAUCUGCCCACCACUGUCCAGAUGCUCCUAUGUAAGGAACGCUCCUGCCCCUGAUCUUUGUGGUACACCCCAGCUUCCUCCUUCUAUGCCUGGCUUCAGGGCCCCUGAUCUCCAAUUACUGCUUGUUCAUUAAGCUGGUGAUCUGUUAUGCGUGCUGAUGGCCACUAAGAGGCCAGUCUGACUCCUUAGCAGUGAACUGUCCCAGUCUUACUGUUUCUGGGAACCAUGUCCACUGUGAAGGAGAUCUGCAGGGAAGCCUGGAUUCCUGUUCUGUCACCUCAAGACUGGUAGCUCUUAACACAGUGAUGGCAUCCAGUUGGUACAUAAUAAAUGGCACUUGAACUAA